rnacentral:rRNA from 1 species
AUGUUGGUGCACCAUGUUUUAACUGUGGAAGAGUUUGAAAAUGGAUGGGAUGCAAUGCUCCUGAAAUAUGGUUUGCAUAAGCAUCCAUUCCUCACUCAGAUAUAUGAAGUCCGUUGUAAGUGGGCAAGACCAUAUUUUAUUGGUUCUUUUUACGCGAAGAUGACAAGCACACAACACAGUGAGAGCGCUAAUCACAUGAUCAAAUGUUAUGUGCCUCCGGGAUGCCCAAUGCAUCUCUUCUUGAAGCAAUACGAGAAGAUUCUUUUUGACAGAGAUUCGAAGGAGAGCUAUCAAGAAAAACGGACAACAAUAGCUGGGGUGGUUCUUAAAGGCAACUGGCCGAUUGAGCGCCAUGCCAGAAAGAUUUAUACACGCGCGAUGUUUGAGAAGUUUGGUGAGUCAUUGUAUAAAGUUGGGUCGUACGUGACAGAAGAAGUUAUAUGCAAACGGAAAUACCUCGUCCGUCAUGUCGAUGCUGUGAAAAGAGAAUCUUGGUGCAAAGGUAUUUUCACCGUGGAAGUUGUUGAUGGUAUGGGAGAGUUUGUAUGCGAGCGUGGUUUCUACCCUCAUUCAGACAUACUUUGUUGCCACACGCUUAAGGUUAUGCUUGAUCUCCGUGUGUCCGAAAUCCCUACAAAGCACAUAAUGAAAAGGUGGACAAGGGAUGCAUGUGAUAUUCUCCCUCAAGAUCUAGUUAUGUACCAGAACGAUCAAGGUCCACCUAAGGCCAAUACAUAUAGGCACUCCAAGCUUUACCAUGCUGCCCUGUCGUUCGUUGGUCAAGGUGAUGCAAAUGUGCAGUCUUAUGAGGCUGCUAUGCUGUUGAUAAAACAUGCAAGUGCAAAACUAGAGCCGCUUUGUGUUGUACGCGACGGGAUGGGUGUUGGUAAUAGAGAAGCUGCUGCUAAAUCACUGGCUGAAGACCAAGACAAUGUUAUGGCUCAGUGGGACGACUGUGUCUAA